rfam:Citrus sinensis cultivar Ridge Pineapple sweet orange scaffold00259_contig_20, whole genome shotgun sequence.
UCGUUUGCAGAUGCAGCAUCAUCAAGAUUCACAUGUAUAUAUAUAUAUAUAUAUAUAUAUAUAGAUAUAGAUAUAUGCUAAUGGUGGAAAGAUGUUUAUCUUUUUGCUUUAUUGCCUUCAUGAGAAUCUUGAUGAUGCUGCAUCAGCGAUAAA